CCCGGAAGGCCCAUAUAAAGCUCGGUGAGGAGCCUGAACUUGAUCCCAAGGGAGGGGCCGGGGGAGGCCCAUCUGUGUGACAAGGGUAGGUCUGUCUAGCUCCCGGGCAGGGAGUGACUGGAGGACCAGCAAGAAACAAGCAGACAUUUGGGUGAGGCGAAGGCGGCCUAGGUGGCCCUGAAUCACUUCCUCUCUGAGGGCUGCUUCCCUCUCCUGCCCAGACAGGGCCAACUCAGCCAGGCCUCCAAGCUCCCUUCCACAUCUGCCCGCCCCCCUCCCCGCACCCCCCGCCCCCCACCGCAGAACUCAUCCCGCCCCCUUCACCCUGGCUUCCACCAAACCCUCCCUCCCUCGAGCCGCAGGGCACCGCAUCUGUUUGGGGUUCAAUGCCCACUCCGGCCUCUCCCUAAUCAGGUUCGAUGGGCUGGCUAUAAUUUUUCCUAAUGCACUCUGAAAAUCUGUAUAUUUUUACAAUAAAGAUGUUCACCUCUGCACACCCAAAGCCAUUAUCUACCUCCCGAGGGAAACGCUGGCCGAGGAAGACCUCCGCAGCCUCUUGUGCCCCCCUGCAUCUCCCUGCUGCACUCCUGGAAACCGAGAACCUGGGCUGCCUCCCCUCCCGCUUCCCACCUUCCCUCCAUCUGGACCGCCCUUGGUCAGACUGUUCCUGCUCACACAGUAGAAAUUUAAAUGCAGCAACAGGGCGUUUGUCCACAGCGGACCACGUAAGUGGCAUUCUCUGUUGUCACGAAGCCACAUCCCACUGCUAAGCUUGCCUACGCACGAGGAGGAUGAUUAAGGAAGAAGGGCUGAUCCCACUUUCUUAUUCAUCCCCCAAAAAACCAGACUGCAAAGUAGAAUGACUGUCAGCCUCCUUUGGGGAGACGCCCUUACCUGCUGGCUUCAAGGAGUAUCUCCCUGGCAGCCAGAUUCCCAUUAACACAUAAUGCAGAGCCUCAUGCAAAACAGACUUUACUGAGAGAGAGGUGCUGGUGGGAGGAGACCUGCAGUCAGGAAUCCGGAUUCUGUGCCCAGCUCUGUCGCCAACACCGUCCAUCCUCCCAGAGCCUCCGGAGUUUCUGUAACUUGGGACUCUGUGAUUGAGUGGGGAGGGGUCCCUUCCAGCUCUGACUGACUGAGAAAGAUGUGGUCACCAGGAAGGACAGAGCAAGAGCCAUUUACAAAGGAGUCUACACAGCGAGAGAGCCCGAAGUUUAGCUCAGAAGAGCAGAUCCAACUCCCAGCCCGCUGGCGGGCUGGCGGGUCACACGGAGCCCCAACCACGUGCCAAGACGGGUCUCCAGGGGCCACCUGGGGACCAUCCAAGGCUGGAGGGGAAAAGGCCACCGCGGGGCAGCAGAAGGCAGAGGCAGGAGGACCCUUCGAGGGGCACGACAGGCCAGGAAAAAGGAUCAACUUCCUUAACUACGAUGUUUCACUGCAUACUGAUGGAUCCAGAGAAAGGUCUGGUCUUAAACAAAGACCCUCCCCUCUCCACACUCCCCUCUCCCACCGCCGUCCCCACUCCCACCCACCACCUCAGUGACGGGGCCGCUGAGCCAGGAUCACUCAACCUGAAGACGGACAGAAAGGACCAGACUUCGAAGAGAGUUAGGAUUCGCCUCUGAGCACGUCGCUGCCAGGUGGAGGACUCUGGGCUCCCAGACACCCAGCUGUGACACCUCCCGCUGCAAAGAUGGUGAAAGGCUGUGCUGGUGGCUGAGAGCACUGCACACCCCUUCCUUCAGGAGACACUUGAAAGGGACCACACUCCCCCCUUGAAGCCCCAUCUCAAGCGGUAGAAUGUCCUCUCCAGUUUGGUCCUGCCUCCG